rnacentral:rRNA from 1 species
UACGGGAGGCAGCAGUAGGGAAUUUUGGUCAAUGGGCGAGAGCCUGAACCAGCCAAGUAGCGUGCAGGAUGACGGCCCUAUGGGUUGUAAACUGCUUUUAUACAGGGAUAAAGUCGGGGACGCGUUCCCCGUUUGCAGGUACUGUAUGAAUAAGGACCGGCUAAUUCCGUGCCAGCAGCCGCGGUAAU